rnacentral:lncRNA from 1 species
CUGAGAAAGCUCUUCCUUGCCUCUUAGUUCUCGAAAGGCCUUUGAGACGCUGGCGAGGGUCCAGCAUUGGGAGUACUGAAAUCUCCGCGAGGAAGGCGCCGCGGUGUUUCCGAGCAGCCCGGGGCUGGGGGGUGUCGGUGGGGAACGUGGGCUGGGAGGAGCUCCUGGGACAGCCUCGCCGCCCCUCGGGAACCACCUCUCCCCUGCGCCGGCCGCCUUAGGGUUUUCCCUUCCUCACGGGAGCCUGGCCUUCGGUCCCCUGUAAGGCAGCUGCCACUACCAUGAGCCAACCUUGCUGCUUUUGGUUUGUGCUUACCUGCCAUAUGCUGUUAUGGGCAGAGUGCUUUAGAAAUCUCGUUCAACCCUGCCAGCCGCCUGUUGGGAUGCAAGGCAUGUUGGUCUAACUCUUGGGAAAUGACUUGUCUGGGAGGCCAGCUGACACCAGCAAAUAUAAAGUUGAAGGGAAACAUCAACGGCUACCACCAACUCUGUCCAACUCAGUGGGAGCCAUGCUCCGAGGUUCAACUUUGCCCGCCCAAAUGAACUACUUUCUCCAUGGAAGAGUCCCGCAUGGAAUGGUAAAGGCAGGGACCCUGCUGGGAACCAGGAAUGUGAAGGGGUUCACACAUUGAACAAGUUGCAGCUCACAUUCUCCUCUGGAAGAGAUGUGCCUUUUCUUAAUAUUGGCGCUCACACUAAGGGAUAAACAUAGGACCCCCCAUGGUUGAGGAACGUCCCAAACUGAACUCCUGAGAGUCGGCAUCUGCACAUAAUUACUUAGGGCACAUAAUUCUUUUAUGGGUGCUCGCUUAGGAAAGCAUUUACAUUUACAUUCACAGCUCAUUAGGUUGCUUGUGAAUUUGAUUUGAACAUUUUAAGUGGGAUUGUUUUUAAUCUUUGGAGGCACUAUAAACUCACAGUCACGCUCAACUGCCACAGACUGUUGGAAGGCAAACCAUAUAGCUGGUUUGUUUUGCUUCCUAGGAGGAAGGUAAGGGCUGAACUGACCAUGGAUAUUCUAAGGGGACUUUUUUUUUCUUUUUUUCUUUUUUCUGAGCCCAAGGCUUAUGGAACUAUUGUGAUCACAAGUGAAGUUGCUUGAAUCUCUGACGGAGAAAGAACGAAAUUAAACGUGACUUCUGAAUUGUUAUAAAAAAUCAUAAA